UACAGGGGGUGCAAACGUUGCUCGGAAUUAUUGGGCGUAAAGCGCGCGUAGGCGGCUACUUAAGUCGGAUGUGAAAGCCCUUGGCUCAACUGAGGAAGUGCACCCGAAACUGAGUGGCUAGAGUACGAAAGAGGGUCGCGGAAUUCCCGGUGUAGAGGUGAAAUUCGUAGAUAUCGGGAGGAACACCGGUGGCGAAGGCGGUUCUCUGGGCCUGACCUGACGCUGAGGAGCGAAAGCGUGGGGAGCGAACAGG
rnacentral:rRNA from 1 species